GACGAACGCUGGCGGCGUGCUUAACACAUGCAAGUCGAACGGAAAGGCCCUGCUUUUGUGGGGUGCUCGAGUGGCGAACGGGUGAGUAACACGUGAGUAACCUGCCCCUGACUUUGGGAUAACUUCAGGAAACUGGGGCUAAUACCGGAUAGGAGCUCCUGCUGCUUGGUGGGGGUUGGAAAGUUUCGGCGGUUGGGGAUGGACUCGCGGCCUAUCAGCUUGUUGGGGGGGUAGUGGCUUACCAAGGCUUUGACGGGUAGCCGGCCUGAGAGGGUGACCGGCCCCGUGGGGCUGGAAAUACGACCCAGCCUCGAACUGGAGGCAGCGGUGGAGAAUGUUGCACUAUAGGCGGGAGCCUGAUGCGACAACGCCGCGUGCGGUGAGACGGCCAGCGGGUUGUAAACCGCUUUCGCCUGUGACGAAGCGUGAGUGGCGGUAAUGGGUGAAGAAGCACCGGCUAACUACGUG
rnacentral:rRNA from 1 species